rnacentral:lncRNA from 1 species
UUGGCCUCCCAAAUUUCUGGGAUUACAGAUGUUUGCCACUGUGCCAGUGGAAUCUUUUGAAAGGGUUGGCUUCUGUUUAGCCCUUAGGGAAGAAAGUAUAAUUCUAGUUGUGAGGGAGGGGGUAUAACAAGAGGCUUGUCUGACCUCCUAUCCUAUCAUGGCUGAGAACUCAGUUUUCAAGGUUACUCUGGGCCAAAAAGAGUUGGUUGGGGAGCUUAGGAUUUUAUUUUUAUUUCUCAGCUUUAUGUUUGGCAUUGAAGGAAACCAGAGAACUUCAUCGCCAAAUAUGCCUCUUUGACAUAAACAUUUUUGAGCUAGAGACAAUUUGGAAGCAGCAAUUAUAAAAAAGGACUCUCUGAACUUUCCUUUCUCACAUGUGUCAGGCCGUAAAAAUUCUUGUGAAAAAUAUGCAGGGGGCGCUUCUUUCACCCCUUUCUGCCUGAUUAGCUCAGAGACUGAUGCCACUCGAGGCAGAAAAAUCUGGGAGCAGACUUUACCACAUUCCCAUUGUUUUCCCACCUUUUGGGAGCCUGAAGCUGUUUAUGCCUUUGUCUUCUCACUUCUAAAUGUAUUGUUGUUUGUUAGAGAUGCUAUAUAAGCUGGGACCUUGACCCAUCAUUUUGUGAGAUACUUUUGAACUGAAGUUUCUCCUGUGUUAUGAGCACAGCACAUGUAGAUAGAAACACUUGUUUUUUUUUUCUUUCUUGUUAUUCUGCUGUUUAUUAACAGGAAACUGUCCCAGUGUAAUUGCCCGAUGGGUUCUUCUUGCCUGCUGCACAGACAAAGCCAAUGUACCAAGAAAACAGUGUUGCAGUAGAGAAAGAGUUUAAUUAUCACAGGGCCUGCCAAACAGGAGGACGAGAGUUUAUUACUCAAAUCAGCCACCCUGAAAGCUCAAAAGCUUGGAGGCUAGGAUUUUUAAGGAUACUCUGGUGGGCAGGGUCUAGGAAAUGGGCACUGCUGAUGGGUUGGGGAUAAAAUCAUAGGAGUGUUGGAACUAUAUUCAUGCUGUGAGUCGGUUUCUAGAGGGAGAUUAUGGGACUGAUUGAGUCACAGGUCUUGGAGGGUUUGGGUGGCAUCAGUUGGUCUGUCUAAAUGCAAAAGUCUGAAAAAUAUCUCAAAUGCUAGUCUUAAGUUUUACAAUGACAAUGUUUUCUAUUGGGGCGAUUAGGAAACUUACAGCAGCAAGCAAUGACUAGUUAUCAUUUAACCAUGCAUAGAUUUUAGCAGAAUUCAGGUCCCUCCCAUAAUCCUAAUCUUGUGGCCUUUCAUUAGUUUUACAAAGGAGGUUUCAGUCCCUGAGCAAGGAAGGGGUUAGUUUUGGGGAGGGACUAUUGUUAUCCUUGAUUGAAAGUUAAACUAUAAACUAAAUUCCUCCCAUGGUUAGCUUGGGUUAUUGGAAUGAGUAAGGACAGCCAGCUUGUGAGGCUAGAAGCAGGACGGGGUCAGCCAUGCUAAACUCUCUCACUGUCAUAAUCUUUGCAAAGGCAGUUUCGCCCACUACAGACUUAAAAGUUUUGUGAAAAUUAUUGCUUUCUCCCCUUCAGCUUAAUAGAAGACAGUUGGGUUUUUCAUAUUUACUUCUGUCUUCAAUCUUUAGUGCUAUCACACUUUGGAACAGAUACCCUGGGGUAACUUCAAAUCGUGGGCGCGAAAGUACUUUGGACAAAAUAAAGCACCAUCAAAAUGCUAGGUGUUUGCUAUUUCUAUAAGGGUUGCUAAAACAUGAAGUAACAGGAAAUUCCUCCUGAGGCUCAUAACCUCUCAGAAUCAAACAGACCCAGAAAUGAGAUGUUUCUUUCCUGCAAGAAUUUCAGACAGAAAUCACAUUUUCACAGAUACUUGCAUGAAAAGGGUCCAUAAUUUCACCAAACACCAAACAAAUCUGACUCCAUGCAAGACAAACUUCUGUUGUUCUACACAGAAUUCUAUGAGAUACAGUUUGGAAAAUUGCAUAUAAUCUAUACUGCAUUAAAAAAAGCUUUUACACACAUUCUUUCAACUAAUCUGUAUACCUUUGAGAGGUAGGUAGUCUGAAGCUCAGAGAGAUUAAUGGACAAAUGACUUGCCAAAUGUUGCAUAGUUUUGAUAAGCGGUGAAAUGCAGGUUUUUCUGAUUCUAAUGCAAUCACUUUGUUUAUUACAUUACUAUGCCUCUGGGUAGUUUACCUCAUGCUCAUGGGGCUCUAAAGAAGACAGUCAGAGGAAAGAUGUGUCUGAUAUGCUGCAGAGGGAGGAAGGUAUAUUGGGAAAAGUUUUAAUGUGGCUGCCAGCCCACACAGCUGUGGGAACUAUUGCCUUUAGGGAUUGUGGUGACUCGGGAGAUGAAAUGUAGGACACUAGAGCAUUAGCAGGAGGUGGAAGUUAAGGAUCUAGACAGAAACUGAAAACCAUGGUUUCAGGCUGCUAAAAACCUAACAUGAAACAAAACAGAAGAACAACAACAACAAAAUAAGGUUGCUGACCAGAACUCAACAGUGAGGGAAUUUACCUCCUGCUUCAUGCAUGCAACAUCAAAAUAGAAGAGUGACCUAUGGGAUCCAUGGAGGAGCUGCUUCCUGAAUCUGUGUAAAGUAGAUCUUGCCGUGUGGGUAACUGUGACUGCGGUGGCCAUGAAGAGGCACAACUCAGACCUCGGAUCUCCUGCUGCAGAGAACAUUGACUGACAGCCCAGCAGCUCCUGUCUGGAUCUACCACCUGUUCACAAUUCUGAAAUACAUUCAACGCACACUUUCCUACUGAGAUUUCUAAAAUGGGACUUGGAAAACAGAAAAAUACUAAAGUGGGGUACUAUCAUCUAAAUCUCCAAAAAGGUCAUUCAACUCUGAUCCCUGUUUAAAGAGAGAAAAAAGGAAUAAAGGAGCCUUUGAAGGCAGAAUAUUGCUCACUCAUCUCUUUGAAAGGACCUCAGACUGCAGAGCAGAAGAACCACUGGCUACAUCAGCUGGGGCAGAGGGGGAUGAAGAGAACAUCAUGAUGCCUGCAAAAAAGUGGGCUCUGCAGGAUCUCCAGUCACCUCCCUUCCCUUCAGAUCCAGAGCUCUCUCUGGCUAGGACCUUCCAGAGUUCCAGAAUUUUUGUUCCACCUUCCAUUGCUCACUUCUAUUACUAUUACUAAGAUAUUCACAUGGAAUUCUGUGCAAACCAUUUUUUUUUUCUUUUGGUGCCCUCUUUGUUUUACUUCCUCUAUUGGGACUAAUGGCCAUCUGACUUGGGGGUCCUUUGUUUUUUGUGACAAACCACCCUCAGCAGAUUUCCUUGAGGUCCAUUUGCUCAAGGGCCUUAAAGCUUUUUGGAGUAAUACAGAGUAAGUUUCUAGACAGCCUCUUGUGCUCUGCAGUAAGCUAAAGUGGAAGAUUAAGAUGCCUGGUGUAUACUGUGUGUUUCCCAUGUAAUGGCAGAAAAGGAAUGGGGCUCAUUAGUUACUUUAAGGUGGCAGCAGCUACCUUAGAGAAGACUGCAUUGCUUGUACUGAUUCAAAAGAGCACCUAAUGAAGGGAAAAAGCAGAAAUAAGCCAAGACUUGAGCUGAGUGAUUCGUUGAAUCAGCCAAGGAUAAUGUUCUUCAGGCACUAUGCACAUGUCACUGAUCAGUAGCGCUUCUCUUAAGCUUCAACAGCACUCACUUCCCCUGUCUUGAUGAGGUGAGCAGCACAUUUAAUUUCAGCUCCUGGGGCCAUCUGCAAACCUCUACUCCAUUCCUCAGCUGUGUUUGCUCCUCUGUUCUCAGGGAGCAGCAUUUUCACUGGAUGCAAACUGUGAGGCACUGUCUGGGCAAGCAGAUUGGUUACUAAUGAGGAAACUGGCACUGACAGCCUUUUGGGUUCUGAUUGAAGAAAAGAGAUGUCUUCGCAUCAGAAUGGUUUAACUUUCAAUGUGGCAUAUCAACUGGUUGAAAUUAGGGAGAGAGAGAAAGAGAAAUUUAAUUGUCAGGCUGUGGUGCGUAGUGUCAAAGCUACCUAGAUUAUGAGAAAUACGUCUUUUCAACAGCUUAAAGGCCACAGCUCUCAACAUUUUUUCUGCAUGUACAACACAGACAGGAUCCAGAAAUCCCAGCCUAUAACUCUUGGUUCCGUCAAAUACUCAACAGAGAAAACAGAAGUAUUUGAUUGUGGUAUUAACUAUGAAAUGUUCCCUAUUAGCCAUAUGAUUCUAUUAGCUCAGCUCAUUCCUGUUAGAUUUAUAGAAACAUUAGAGAUAAUUGGAAUUAGAAGGGCCAAGAGAGACGAUCCAAUCCCAUAUAGAGAAAAGCAAGACCCCUGCUCUCACUGAAGAAGUUUUAAAAAUAAUUAAACAACAAACAAACAAAUUGAGGCCCAGAGAGAUGAAGUAAUUUGACUGAUGUAUUCCAUCAGUGACAGACCUGGGACUGGAGCUCCAUCUCAGCUCUCAGCCCACUAAGAACCCUGUUCAUGGUGCCAUACUAGCAACCCCCUUCCUGUAGGAGUCUUUGAGAGUCAGAAUGACUUCUUGACUGAGAGGUACAUGUCUCUAGGAUAAGGACAAUUGAGGGGAUAAUGAGGAAAGAAAUAAUGUAAGUUAACUAUAUUUUGCCACAUGCCCUCCUCUCUCCAUGAAUCCAGGAUGUUGACCCAUAUCCAGCAUCCAUUGUGGGACUAAGUCUCGGACACCAAGGACUUCUAAGGAGCCUGCUCCAAUCUGAAAUGACUGUGGGGGAGCUGGCCAUUCCCCGAGCCAUUCUUGGAAUAUUGGGCCACAGGGGCCACUGGGGAGCAUGUAUAGGUAGGGGCGGCUUUGAUAUAAGCCUAGGUAUUCAAUUCUUCAUGGGACCCCCAAUGCUACCCCAAGUCUGCACCUUGAUUCCCAAAUACCCAAGAGAGACAAAAUGUCCUACUUUCUCUCUGAAGUUCUUCUAAUGUUGGAAGACCUAGGGUGGAGGCAAACCUUUCAGAGAAUUUCUGCUGGGAUUUAAAUGUAUGUCUAGCUGGCUUUAGACAUUAGAAGACUGUAAUAUGUACCUUAAUAAGUUGCCUUUCCCAUGGUGUUUGUUAUCCUCAGAAGACCCCCAUAGUGACUCUAGGAGACAAUUCUCAUAUCUUCUGAACUGUGCAUGUUCAUAGUUUUUCUGAGCAGGGUUUGCAUCUAGCAGCGAUGGAGGUAUAGGAGGUCACAGGCAACACUGCGUGCCUCACACAACAUUGUAGAUCAAGACACAGUUAAAUGGGCUGGCAAUUCUGAGUUUCUGAGUCCAGUCCCAUGACUAGUAUAGCUGUCAGAACUAGAGGGGCCAACCCUGGGAAUCUUGGAGAUGCUUUAUGAAUAUAUGAGAUUUCAGGCAUCCAAGCUCUUCUAUUUGUUUACAUGUAUUCUCAAUGUCUAUCUCCCAUUAUCAAAUCUAUUCCAAAAGUAUUUUUUCAACACUUGCUGGAGACUCUUGGAUAAAGCUAGUAAACGUGCUUUUAUUAAGCUCCAACUCUGUGCUGACCACUUAUACAUAUAUUGUCUCAGUUGCACUCAAAAUGCUAUUGUGUGUUAGGGUUCUUUCUUACAGAUUUUGAAACAGUGUCUUGGAGAGGUUAGGUGAAUUGCUCAAAAGACGCAGCAAGCACAGAGCUGUGACUUGGUCCUGUCUUAUCUGCUUUGGGGUUAUGGGUAGUUUAUCUUUAUAUGCCUAUUUUAACAGUAGACCCUCAACCACUGAAAUUGACAGGAAAAAGUAUGUGGUUGUUUUACCAAACAAACAAACAGACAAAAAACCAAACCCACCAAACCUGAAAUUUUUGGUUUGGUCAACAUUUUAAUUCAACUGUACUCAAUGUAUUAACAAUGGUGAUUUGAUAUGAUGGAUGUAAUUGAUAAUCAAUGCAGUGCCAUUUAUAGACUGCCUAAAAGUGCAUUGUACAUCAUUUUGACAACAUAUUUACCUGCAUUGUUUGGGCAAAAUGAAUUUUAAAAUUAUUUUUUGUUUCCUAAAUUUGUAUCAAUUGAAAAAAAAAAAGUCAUCUGGGUAGCAGACAGAAGUCAGCCUGGGACUACAGUGGGUCAUAACCCUGAGGAUUCAAAUGUGGGCAAUGGCAACAACAUCAGCGACUAAAGCUGUCAGUGGAGAAAAGAAGAAAGCACACGCCAGCCACCCUGCAGAACAAUGCAGUUCUUUCAGAGUCACAUAGUCCUAAAUCUGGAAACCAUCACAGCUGAGAGGAUAAGCUUUGGAACCCGAUAGUGGUCUAAAACUAGGCUCUGCCUGCCAUGGACAAACUACAAGAGACUGGGAAGUGAGUUAAACCUGAGCUAAAUCCCAGUUUCCUUCUCUGCAAAACAGGGAGUGGGGACAGUGGAAUAACACCUCCCUCAUAGAACUGUUGGGAGGCAUAAAUGACCCUCAGCACAGGGUGGUGUGUAUGGAAUGUGCAUCAUAAGUGGCAGCUAUUUUGAUAAUUACUAAACAUGAUGAAUGAUGAUAAGCGAAAUAAUAACACAGCUUUUCAACAUUUUCACUCAAUAAGUUAAAUUUAUAAUAGGCAAGCAAAGGAGUUUCCAGAAUUAAGCAUCUGAUGGGAGCUUAGACAGGUUGACUUUUACAGCUCAUUCUAACCCUGAGUGAGGGUCUGUGAUUUUAUAAGCCCUUUUAGGGUUCGAGUGCUACUUCUAAUCAAGAUCCUGGUAUCAUGUUUUUCUCCAUUACGUGGAACAAUAAUGAAUAGAUAAAUAAAAUAUAACUGGGAAAGGAGAACACAGAUUGAACACAUGCAUUUAUCUCCACUCUUGUCCAAAACCUCACAGUAAAAUAAUUUAAAAUACAUGAACCUAUAAGAACAAGAGAGGGGAGAUAUGAUGAAAGAGAAAACCAAAAUUUUGGAAGUUGGAAAAAAAUGGAAGGCUGGUUAGCCAAUUAGGGACAGUAGAAAGCUGCAUAUCUGUAAGGCACAUGCUGCCAAGAGAGAAAAGCAAGGCAAUUUGGAUGUGGAACCUCAGACAGGCUUAGAAUAGGAAACAGAUCCAUGAGUCAUGACACUGUGGUUGAGAUUUCUGCUUUAGCCAUUCCAGCGUAUGCUUGUUUUUCCCUAAAAGUCUUUACUCAUUUGUUUUCUCUCUUCCGCCCAGUGAACAUCUACUCAUUCUUCAAAACCCAGAACUGUUGUUGUUUCUUGAAAAAUGGAGAUUAUUCCAAAGUUCUUUUAGCCUUUGCAAUGUGAAGGCAUGUGUCAGGGUUGGGAGGAGUUGGGGAACAGCACCUCUUUCUUUUAACGUCCAAUUGAUUGAGGCCAAUGGGUCAUCCUGCCUCCUUCCCUAAAUAUUCCUGAGAAUGCUCAGAGAGGGCCCACAUGUUCCCUAAGUCCAUUCUGGUUACCCUGUGUGCCUUCUUGCUCUGGUCUGCUGCUCCCAGCUUCUUCACGAUCACUUGUGAUCAUUUGCUAGCCUUUUUUUAGUCCAUUUUACUCCAAAGCAAGAAUACAGUACUUGCUCCUUACUCUCCAAUGCUUACCAAUGCAACAACAAGAGGUAAUAGUAUUUAACAAAUUUUGAUACGGAGGAAAGGAAAACCUAAAAUAAGGUACCAUGUAUCACUAUUCCUGAAUUCUGUCAUCAUGUCCCUUUAAAGGCAGUGCUCUAUAGGUUCCGUCUCUCCUGUGGCCCCAGCCUGCUGCCACUGGAACAAGGGUCCAGGGUUCUUAAUGCACGGAAGUCUUCAUCUUAUCCCCCACAAAUCUACAGCCAAAAGAAGGAAAUACCCAUUGAUGACACGAUAGACAAUAUAACAGUUGACAAGAUAAUUGAUACAGCGUGCCCAAUGUGAAGAGAGAAUUUGUCACGGCUAGAGUAGUGAACCUUCUCCAGGUGAACCAUCUGCCGUUGGAAGCUUCCUUUUGUCCAGGGCUCCUGCAAGGCCAGUGAGUAGGUACUUCUAUCUACACAUGACUGAAAAAGACUUACCAAAACCAAUAUAUUCCCAAGGAUACUUUCUAAAUUCUACCCAAGGAGCAGAUGCUGCUCACAAUUCUCUAAAACAAGGUCUUUUUUUUUUCAACCCCAGAUAUAUCAAGAAUGGGACACAAUCUCCGAGGAAGAAAUUGUCAGCAUCUAUCUUGAAAAUAUCUUUGGUUUCCCAUUACAUUUCGGAUUUCUCUAGACCAUAUUUGUAGUUCCCUUUUUGGUGUUCCCAUUCUUGUAAGUUUAUAUAAACAGCAAUAAGACUAUAGCUCUUCUCACAGGAUACUUUGUUAUUUCUUAAUGGGACUGUCUGUCCUGUAGGCUAUGAGCUAUUUGAGGGCAAAGAAUAUUCUAUUCAUCUUUAUAUUCCUGGCACAUGGUAGGCACUCAGUAAUGCUGCUGCUGAAUUGAAUCGGCUGUGGGAAAAAAACAAAUGCUUCUCCUCAGUCAGCAUUUGUUUUCUAGGAUCUAUUCCAAUAUAUUUCCAACAAAAAUAUGAGAUUUAAAAGAUAGGCAGAGAGUGAAUUGAACUGAAUAUUGCACAAAAACUCCUUGUCUUUAAAGGUGGAAACAAAAUCCACCACCUUCCCAAGAUAGCUGUUCUGUCUCACAUCUUCUUGAAGCAAUGAAAUGAUGAGUACUGUGAUCAGAGAGGACCCUCAGAAAAUAAAUAAAAACCCAGCUCUACAAAUGCAGCCGUAAGCCAGGAGGAUAUGACGAAGGAUAUCAUUAUCAUCCUGAUAUUUUUAGAAGUUCUUUGGUGACAGGUCAGAUUUUUGAGAAUCAGAAAAUGAUAAAAAUAAUCUUGUUAUUCCACAAAGGAGGCUCUAUAUAUAUCAGGCCGAUUUUGAACACUGCCUGAGAAUGUUGAGAAAAUAUUUUUAAAUGUUAGUGAAAUGAUAGGCUUUGGGGGCAGACCCAGCCUCGCUUUAGAAAAAGCUUUAUCGUGGGGGGAUUGAGAGAUUUUAGUGAUGUGAGCAUUGUAAAGAAUCAGCAGUGAGUGGGUGUAAGUUUUUGUUUUCCAAUUUUCCAGAGGAGGGUCCACCUGGGAAGAAUUUCAUGAAAUUUACAGAAAUCUGAAAAUUGCUUUUGAAGCUAUUACAGGUACCUGGGGAGUCCUCCUUGGCCCCACAGGCUGACUACACUAUCCAGAUCUUAAGGGACUCUCAUCUUUCCUAACUUCUAGGUUGCAGGAUUCUGCAGAAUUACUUCUGCAGCUUCCAUUUGUAGCUAUUGCUAAGUGGACCCAUAGCUAUAUGGGAUGUGGGGCUCUGGAUUUCAGGUAGAAAUGACCCUUUGUUUAUUUGAGAUGUUUGCUUCUUUAAAUACUCAGCCAUCUGACUCUCUAAUUGUUUAGGAUUAGUCAUAAGUUAAGUAGGACAGGGAAGAUGUUAUAAAUAGUUUAUUGCAUAUCCAUUCAAGAAAUUUAGGCUAAGUUUAUAUAUUUUACCUUCUGAAAGGAGAAAGCCUGUGUGUUUAUUUAAAGCAUUGUAGAUUUUUUCUCAUUUAGAAUAUAUGAGUCUAGUAUAAAAAUUGAUUCUAGAUGAUUUAUAUGUAAGUUGCUCUUUUCUUCAUACUUAUUUUGCUACCUUUUUAUUUCAUGUUUUUUCUUAAGUAUGACUUUGAGCCUUUAAAAGUAUUUCCUUUAUGUCUCUUUUGAAUAUCAAAAACAACAUGAAUUAAAAAUAGAAGUCUACAUAUCAA